CGGAGGGUGCAAGCGUUGUCCGGAUUUAUUGGGUUUAAAGGGUGCGUAGGCGGCUUUUUAAGUCAGUGGUGAAAUCCUUCAGCUUAACUGGAGAAUUGCCAUUGAUACUGGAAAGCUUGAGUACAGACGAGGUAGGCGGAAUUUAUGGUGUAGCGGUGAAAUGCUUAGAUACCAUAAAGAACACCGAUUGCGAAGGCAGCUUACUAGGCUGUAACUGACGCUGAGGCACGAAAGUGUGGGUAUCAAACAGGAUUAGAUACCCUGGUAGUCCACACUGUAAACGAUGAUUACUCGAUGUGUGCGAUAGACAGUACGCGUCCAAGCGAAAGCGUUAAGUAAUCCACCUGGGGAGUACGAUCGCAAGAUUG
rnacentral:rRNA from 1 species